GACGAACGCUGGCGGCGUGCUUAACACAUGCAAGUCGAACGGAAAGGCCCUGCUUCUGUGGGGUGCUCGAGUGGCGAACGGGUGAGUAACACGUGAGUAACCUGCCCUUGACUUUGGGAUAACUUCAGGAAACUGGGGCUAAUAACGGGUAGGAGCUCCUGCUGCAUGGUGGGGGUUGGAAAGUUUCGGCGGUUGGGGAUGGACUCGCGGCUUAUCAGCUUGGUGGUGGGGUAGUGGCUUACCAAGGCUUUGACGGGUAGCCGGCCUGAGAGGGUGACCGGCCACAUUGGGACUGAGAUACGGCCCAGACUCCUACGGGAGGCAGCAGUGGGGAAUAUUGCACAAUGGGCGGAAGCCUGAUGCAGCAACGCCGCGUGCGGGAUGACGGCCUUCGGGUUGUAAACCGCUUUCGCCUGUGACGAAGCGAGAGUGACGGUAAUGGGUAAAGAAGCACCGGCUAACUACGUG
rnacentral:rRNA from 1 species